rnacentral:lncRNA from 1 species
AAUUAACUUAAAUAACGUUGAACAAUUUACAACCGAAAUAACAAAAACUAUCAGAGAAGCUGCUGAAAAAUGUAUUCCAAAUAAAAUAAUAACUGUUCGCAAUAAUGAACCUCCAUUGCUAACAAAUGAUGGUAAAAAAAAAGAUAAGGAAAAAAAAUAGAAUCCACAGAAAGGCUAAAAAAUAUAAUAACCCAUCGGAGUUGUCAAAAUUUAAGAAAAUACGAAAUGAAGUUACUAGUUUAAUAAGAAAAUCGAAGGAUGAUUGUAACAACAAUUUAAUUUUAAAAAUCAUGAACAGUAACCCGUCCACUACUAACUGGUGGAAAACGGUUAAACAAAUAUCCGGAUUAAAAACAAACGACGCAAGUGUACCCCCAUUAAUGGUUAAUAACAACUUAAUAUUUGAUGAAAUCGAAAAGGCAAAUGAAUUUACUCGAUUUUUUUCUUCCCAGUCAAAUAUUGAUGAUACAAGUGCUGUGUUACCUGAAAAACUUCAUAAUAUUAGUAAUGACAUUAGUUAUAUAGAAC